UCGUGAGACAGUUCGGUCCCUAUCUGCCGUGGGCGUUGGAUGAUUGAGAGGGGCUGCUCCUAGUACGAGAGGACCGGAGUGGACGAACCUCUGGUGUUCGGGUUGUGUCGCCAGACGCAUUGCCCGGUAGCUAAGUUCGGAAUCGAUAACCGCUGAAAGCAUCUAAGCGGGAAGCGAGCCUCAAGAUGAGUCAUCCCUGAUACUUUAAGUAUCCUAAAGGGUUGUUGGAGACUACGACGUAGAUAGGCAGGGUGUGUAAGCGCUGUGAGGCGUUGAGCUAACCUGUACUAAUUGCCCGUGAGGCUUAACCAUACAACACCCAAGGGGUUU
rnacentral:rRNA from 1 species